rnacentral:rRNA from 1 species
AUUGAACGCUGGCGGCAGGCUUAACACAUGCAAGUCGAGCGAGCGGCGGACGGGUGAGUAAUGUCUGGGAAACUGCCUGAUGGAGGGGGAUAACUACUGGAAACGGUAGCUAAUACCGCAUACCAUCAGAUGUGCCCAGAUGGGAUUAGCUAGUAGGUGGGGUAAUGGCUCACCUAGGCGACGAUCCCUAGCUGGUCUGAGAGGAUGACCAGCCAGACUGGAACUGGUACACGGUCAAGACUCCUACGGAAGGCAGCAGUGGGGAAUAUGGCACAAUGGGAGCAAGCGUGAUGCAGCCAUGCAGCGUGGGUGAAGAAGGCCUUCGGGUUGUAAAGCACUUUCAGCGAGGAGGCGUUACUCGCAGAAGAAGCACCGGCUAACGCCGUGCCAGCAGCCGCGGUAAUUC